UAGCGAAAUUCCUUGUCAGGUAAGUUCUGACCCGCAUGAAAGGCGUAAUGAUUUGGGCACUGUCUCAACAGCCCGCCCGGCGAAAUUGUAGUACCGGUGAAGAUGCCGGUUACCCGCGACAAGACGGAAAGACCCCAUGGAGCUUUACUGUAGCCUAAUAUUGGGUUUCGAUGUUGCAUGCACAGGAUAGAUGGGACUCUGGGAAACCAAGGCUUUGGCUUUGGCGGAGAGGCCGUUGGGAUACCAUCCUUGCGAUAUUGGAAUUCUAACCUGCGGCUCUGAAUCGAGUCGGGGGACAUUGUUAGGUGGGCAGUUUGACUGGGGCGGUCGCCUCCUAAAGAGUAACGGAGGCGUUCAAAGGUUCGCUCAGCUUGAACGGAAAUCAAGCAAAAGAGUGCAAACGCAGAAGCGAGCCUAACUGCGAGACUGACGGGUCGAGCAGUAACGAAAGUUGGAGUUAGUGAUCCGGCGGUAUGUGAAUGGAAAUGCCGUCGCUCAACGGAUAAAAGCUACCCUGGGGAUAACAGGCUGAUCUCCCCCAAGAGUCCACAUCGACGGGGAGGUUUGGCACCUCGAUGUCGGCUCAUCGCAUCCUGGGGCUGUAGUCGGUCCCAAGGGUUGGGCUGUUCGCCCAUUAAAGCGGUACGCGAGCUGGGUUCAGAACGUCGUGAGACAGUUCGGUCCCUAUCCGUCGCGGGCGCAGGAAAUUUGAGAGGAGCUGUCCUUAGUACGAGAGGACCGGGAUGGACGCACCGCUGGUGUACCAGUUGUUCUGCCAAGGGCAUCGCUGGGUAGCUAUGUGCGGACGGGAUAAGUGCUGAAAGCAUCUAAGCAUGAAGCCCCCCUCAAGAUGAGAUUUCCCAUUCCGCAAGGAAGUAAGAUCCCUGAAAGAUGAUCAGGUUGAUAGGUCUGAGGUGGAAGUGUGGCGACACAUGGAGCUGACAGAUACUAAUCGAUCGAGG
rnacentral:rRNA from 1 species